rnacentral:rRNA from 1 species
AGAUUGAACAUAAGAGUUUGAUCCUGGCUCAGAUUGAACGCUGGCGGCAUGCUUUACACAUGCAAGU